CCAAGUGCGGUGUAUACCCUCUGAAGAUUUGGGCUGCUGCUUUUCAUGUCUGGUCUCUGGUCCUUUGCUUUGGAGAGAUGUAGCCUUCUUUAGAAUGCUUGUGUUCUCCCCACACCAUCAGCCAUUCCAGCUCCACACACUGCUUGCCAAAGAGGGACUGACUGCUGCCUGCUGGGGGAAAGAAAACAACUAAGCAGACAGAAAAAGGCACCCUAAAAGAGCCCUACUCUGCAACAGAGAGAAGACUGGAGCAUCUCUGCAACCUUUAGAACUGGCACAAGCUAAUGGCACCGGCAGUUUCUUGUGUUUUCUGCAUAGUAAAGUAUCUUACCUGUGGAGCCAGACCUCUUUAUCUUCUGACCAAGAGGAAUGUGGGGCUGGAGCUGGAAUUCAUUCUGCCCCUUCAAGCUGUUCUUCUCCCAGGCUUGUCACUGCACUGAAGCAUGGUGAGAGCUGCUGUUUCUGAAGGUCGAUAUGCUCUGCUCUGAAUGACCCAAACAGGAUUGACUUUUCACUAAAAAAUAAAUCACAGAUCUGGUAUGUGGCCAUAUGAACCUUGUUGCAGACUGGAUCCAAGAUCUUUGGGUCUCCUAGCAGCAACUCUUCUGCUUCUGUCCUUGAAGGAUUUUCAACUCUGCAGCUACACAACUAUCAAGGCCAGUGUUUUUUCAGUGUGGUUUGUGAAUGAGAAAAAUUGCAUGAUAAAGAACUAAACUAAAAUUCAACCUCCAUAUAAAUGUAUUCCUCCCUCACAUAUUCUUGAAUAAAUGUCUAUAAUUCUGCUUUUGCAUCUUUGGUAGACGUUUUCUCAUUGAAUUCAACCCACUAAUCCUGCAGAAAAACUCUCCAGGUUCGAAGGUUUCUCUUUCUUGUUAGUUUGCAAUGAUUUUUCUUUUUCUUCAGCUAAUGAGUUGACCACUCACACAGUAGUCCAAUAAGAGCUAAGCUUCCUGAAAGUGAGAAAUGGGGGAGAGAGGCAGAACAAACCAGGAGCUCGAGUAAUCCCUAAGAAAUAGUAUACACACCACCUGUUUGUACCCUACUUCUAGAGCCAUUCAUUGA